rnacentral:lncRNA from 1 species
CCGAGGGCCGGGCUCCGCCGACUCGGGACAGGAGGCGACGCCCGUCCCGAGCCGAUCCUACCAUAGCCUCGGAGGGAUCCGAGUUCCCGUCCCAAGCCUCGCGACUUCCCUCUGACGAAGUUUUUCCCCUCGUGCCUUGCUGAAGAUCAUUCCUAGUUCUAGAACUCGCCUGUGGCCGACUUGCUCGGUUUGUUUGGGGAGAUAACUUGUUUUGCUUCAACCCGCAUCCCCUUUCCUUGACCCCUUGCAAUCGGAUGUUCUAGAUGACUGAAUGGAGUUUUGAGUUGGACUUUUGUGUCCCUGCCGAAAUUGAGCCUGAUCCCAGAGCACUGGGGGUGGGGUGUGGAGGUGUUACUGUAAAAUGCAAGUUGGAUAAAAAGAAGACCUCUCGCCAAGGGCCCCAAUGAGUGGCACACAGUCAACUAUCACGGACAGGUUUCCCCUCAAAAAACCUAUAAGGCACGGAAGUAUUUUGAACCGAGAGUCACCAACAGAUAAGAAACAGAAAGUUGAACGCAGUACAUCACAUGAUUUUGACCCCACAGGUAAAAAUACUCUUGUUUUCCCAAAGAAUGUUUUGAGAAUAGUGAAGCUCAGAAUCAUACAACCUAAGGGAACUGAAGCACUCAGGUGUGGUUAUUCCUACCCCUUGGUCCUGCCCUGCAGUUGUGUCAUAGUGCUUCGAUCAGCAGGAAUGCAUGAUGCGGAACUCAGCAUUGUAGACACCAUAGCGGAAGGGGAAGAAGCAUCAUUGUAG